rnacentral:tRNA from 1 species
AGGUGUAUAGCUCAGUGGUAGGGCACGUGCUUAGCAUGCACAAGGUCCUGGGUUCAACCCCCAGUACCUCCA